rnacentral:snRNA from 1 species
GUGCUCGCUUCAGCAGCACAUAUACUAAAAUUGGAGACACAGAGAAGAGUAGCAUGGCUCCUGUGCAAAUUCAUGAAGUGUUCCAUAUAUUU